GGCAUUAAGGGUAAUCAUUUAAUGUCUGGCCUGCCCUAUGGCUCAAGGCUAAAUGGCCGCAGUAUCUUGACUGUGUAAAGGUAGCAUAAUCAAUUGUCUAUUAAUUGUAGGCUUGAAUGAAAGGUUUAACCUAGUUUUACUUUUUUAGCCAUUAUUAGUGAAUUUAUAAGUUUUGUAAAAAUACAAAAAUGAAAGUAGGGGACGAGAAGACCCUAUUGAGCUUUAUACUAAGGUUUCAUACUUAUUACAAAUGGUAGAGUGUAUAGGCUGGUGUAUUUUACUGGGGCGGUAGGUUCGCAAAAAACGCAAUUUUUGUUGGUCCACUAAUCGUGAGUUUAGGAUUAAGUUACUGUAGGGAUAACAGCUUAAUUUUGCUUGAUAGUUCUUAUUGAUGGCAGGGUUUGUGACCUCGAUGUUGGUUUAAGGUACCUAUAUAGAAGUAUAAAGUUUGUAAGGUGGUUUGUUCAACCAUUAAACCCUUAUG
rnacentral:rRNA from 1 species